rnacentral:tRNA from 1 species
GCCGGCGCGGGCCGCCGGCGGCGGGCGAGGCGGCUGCCGGUCGCCUCGGGCCAGGUCAACGGUGUCGCGCCCGGUUUCACCCCGGGCGGCAACG